rnacentral:rRNA from 1 species
CCUACGGGAGGCAGCAGUGAGGAAUAUUGGUCAAUGGACGAGAGUCUGAACCAGUCAAGUCGCGUGAAGGAUGACUGCCCUAUGGGUUGUAAACUUCUUUUAUAUAGGAAUAAAACGAGGCACGUGUUCCUUUUUGCAUGUACUUUAUGAAUAAGGAUCGGCUAACUCCGUGCCAGCAGCCGCGGUAAUACGGAGGAUCCGAGCGUUAUCCGGAUUUAUUGGGUUUAAAGGGAGCGUAGAUGGUUUGUUAAGUCAGUUGUGAAAGUUUUUGGCUCAACCGUAAAAUUGCAAUUGAUACUGGUAGUCUUGAGUACAGUUGAGGUAGGCGGAAUGCGUGGUGUAGCGGUGAAAUGCAUAGAUAUCACGAAGAACCCCGAUUGCGAAGGCAGCUUACUAAACUGUGACUGACAUUGAUGCUCGAAAGUGUGGGUAUCAAACAGGAUUAGAUACCCCUGUAGUC